rnacentral:misc_RNA from 1 species
UCCGGUUGCGGCGGCGAAUAGUUAUAAAUUAUGCUAAUUACGCACUAAAAAUGGGUACAAACAUGAAUGGAAUGGACGGGAAUCCAGGGGUCCAAUUACAACAGAACGGCACGCUUCACAAUUCCGUACAAGGUUCGUCACCGGAGGAUAGCAAGACCAAUUUGAUAGUUAACUAUUUACCGCAGGCAAUGUCGCAGGAAGAGAUUCGUAGUUUAUUCUCUAGCAUCGGCGAGGUGGAAUCGUGUAAAUUGAUCAGAGACAAAGGAACAGGUCAGAGUCUAGGUUACGGAUUCGUUAACUAUGUUCGGUCCGAAGAUGCGGAGAAAGCCAUAAAUACACUUAAUGGUUUGAGAUUGCAGAACAAAACCAUCAAGGUAUCGUACGCUCGACCGAGCAGCGAAGCCAUCAAGGGAGCUAACCUUUACGUCAGUGGACUUCCAAAGUCGAUGACCCAACAAGAUCUGGAGGGAUUGUUUCUACCUUUCGGUCGCAUCAUCACUUCGCGCAUCCUCUGCGACAACAUUACAGAGGUUGACGUUCUUUCUUCUCCCCCAGGUCUUUCCAAAGGCGUUGGGUUUGUUCGUUUCGACCAGCGGAUCGAAGCCGAGAGGGCCAUUAAACAUCUACAUAACACCAUUCCCGAAGGUGCCACCGAACCUAUCACAGUGAAGUUUGCCAAUAAUCCCAGCAACAACACCAAAGCCAUAGCACCACUGGCUGCCUAUCUGCCUCCCCAACGCCGUUUUCCUGGUCCCAUUCACCAUCCUGCAAACCGGUUCAGGUAUAUUCCUCUGUCACCAGUCUCCAGGAGAAGGAAUAUGGACGAAUUACCUGGAACAUGGAGACAGAGUAAAGUACUUGAUGGUACCUGAUCAUAAAUUAAUCAAAAUCUGCAUCUCGUUUGGCUGAUAAUAGAACAACCUCUCUAAAGAUUAAUCGUGUCAAAUUAAACAAUUCAACAAACGAGAUACAGCAGGUACUCGCCUCUGGCAGGUGAUCUGCUGGCAAGUCCACUGCUUACAGGAACGGCCAUCAACGGAUCCGGUUGGUGUAUAUUUGUAUACAACUUAGCACCGGACACGGAGGAGAACCUGUUGUGGCAAUUAUUUGGACCAUUC